UGGGCGUUAAGUUGCAGGGUAUAGACCCGAAACCCGGUGAUCUAGCCAUGGGCAGGUUGAAGGUUGGGUAACACUAACUGGAGGACCGAACCGACUAAUGUUGAAAAAUUAGCGGAUGACCUGUGGCUGGGGGUGAAAGGCCAAUCAAACCGGGAGAUAGCUGGUUCUCCCCGAAAGCUAUUUAGGUAGCGCCUCGUGAAUUCAUCUCCGGGGGUAGAGCACUGUUUCGGCUAGGGGGCCAUCCCGGCUUACCAACCCGAUGCAAACUGCGAAUACCGGAGAAUGUUAUCACGGGAGACACACGGCGGGUGCUAACGUCCGUCGUGAAGAGGGAAACAACCCAGACCGCCAGCUAAGGUCCCAAAGUCAUGGUUAAGUGGGAAACGAUGUGGGAAGGCCCAGACAGCCAGGAUGUUGGCUUAGAAGCAGCCAUCAUUUAAAGAAAGCGUAAUAGCUCACUGGUCGAGUCGGCCUGCGCGGAAGAUGUAACGGGGCUAAACCAUGCACCGAAGCUGCGGCAGCGAACGUAUCACCCAAGACAACUUUACGGAGUUGACGAUUGACGGAGCGAAGCGACGUCAAAGCGUUCAUUAAAGUCGAGUUGGCUUAGGGAUACGUUCGUUGGGUAGGGGAGCGUUCUGUAAGCCUGUGAAGGUGUGUCGUGAGGCAUGCUGGAGGUAUCAGAAGUGCGAAUGCUGACAUAAGUAACGAUAAAGCGGGUGAAAAGCCCGCUCGCCGGAAGACCAAGGGUUCCUGUCCAACGUUAAUCGGGGCAGGGUGAGUCGACCCCUAAGGCGAGGCCGAAAGGCGUAGUCGAUGGGAAACGGGUUAAUAUUCCCGUACUUGGUGUUACUGCGAAGGGGGGACGGAGAAGGCUAUGUUGGCCGGGCGACGGUUGUCCCGGUUUAAGCGUGUAGGUGUGUGUUCCAGGUAAAUCCGGUUCACUUUAACACUGAGGCGUGACGACGAGGCACUACGGUGCUGAAGCAACAAAUGCCCUGCUUCCAGGAAAAGCCUCUAAGCAUCAGGUAACACGAAAUCGUACCCCAAACCGACACAGGUGGUCAGGU
rnacentral:rRNA from 1 species